UUAAGAGUUUUAAUGUGUGGUUUUAGAGGGUUAAUGGUCAUAUGUGUGGAGCCUACCCAGUCAGGUGAUGUAAGCAUGUCUUGUAAAUAGAAGGUCCCCAACUUGUUGUAUGAGCCACCUCCUUUCCAAUACAUUCCCAUUACAUAUUCCUCAGCGUCUCCUGGGCUGGGAUGUUCUAUGUUUAAGGUCAGCUUCAUUGGGGUAGACCCCGUUGGCUUGCACAUGGUCAUUCUGUAUAACAAAGGUUUCCCAUAUUUGUCAACUCCAGGUACUACAGUGAUGUCCCCAACGGUCACACAAAUAUAUGAGCCAUUUUUAUUUGGUAUGUCUUUG